GUGAGGAAUAUUGGUCAAUGGGCGGGAGCCUGAACCAGCCAAGUCGCGUGAAGGAAGAAGGAUCUAUGGUUCGUAAACUUCUUUUGCAGGGGAAUAAAGUGCGGGACGUGUCCUGUUUUGUAUGUACCCUGAGAAUAAGGAUCGGCUAACUCCGUGCCAGCAGCCGCGGUAAUACGGAGGAUCCGAGCGUUAUCCGGAUUUAUUGGGUUUAAAGGGUGCGUAGGUGGUUUGAUAAGUCAGCGGUGAAAGUUUGCAGCUUAACUGUAAAAAUGCCGUUGAAACUGUCGGACUUGAGUGUAAAUGAGGUAGGCGGAAUGCGUGGUGUAGCGGUGAAAUGCAUAGAUAUCACGCAGAACUCCGAUUGCGAAGGCAGCUUACUAAGCUACAACUGACACUGAAGCACGAAAGCGUGGGGAUCAAACAGGAUUAGAAACCCGAGUAGUCC
rnacentral:rRNA from 1 species